rnacentral:misc_RNA from 1 species
UUUGACAGUACGUCACUAAUAAACACCUCAUUAAUUUUCCGGUAUACAUAUUUUUUAAGUCAGUCCAGUUAAAGUUGGUGAAGGUUUUGUAAUUUCAAAAGUGGUUUGGUAUAUUUAGUUAUAAACAAAUGUGAGGUAGUGUUUUAACAAAUAAGUGCAGGAUUUGAUUCACUUCAUUAAGAACUGUUUCCCAAGCAUCAUAUAAAACGCUUUGAAACCUAACCUCAGACCACGAUGUAUACAUUUAAAGCUUAAUAACCUGGAAACUCAAACCUUAUUUGAUAUACAACAACAAUAUGGAAGAAGAAAUAAACGACGAGAGAGGCACAAGCGACGCGGAUCUCCCCAUUGCCACUCAGAGAAAUGUUACGAAUCGACAAUUAAAUAGAAAAGCUUUCCUCAUCUAUCCAACUAUGCCAAAGGGGAGAAAUAUUGACCGUGAAAUCAAAUAUAUUCAAAAGAAAUUUUCUGCUAUAAAAAUUGAUUUGAAAUGCCAUAAAAUGGGGAUUUCCAAAUCUAAAAAGAGGCGUCUACGCAGAAAACGUCAAGAACAUGGUAGACUUAAUAAGGGUACACCCGAUAUGAAUAAAGUUGCAGCAAACCCUGUUAUCGUAGGAAAUGCAGAAAGCAAAAAUGAUGGCAUUAAGAAUGAGCUCGAUGUAAAGAUUAAUAUUUUAGCUCCAGAAACCAGGGAAGAAAACAAAAAUUUAUAAACAUAGCCUAAUGAACUAGUCAGCCGGCACGGACCCGCAAUUUUGUCUGGCCAAGAAUUCUGCCGCUACAACAACAACUACUAAAACGAAUUUAAUGCACCGAAACAAAAAACUUGGAAAAUAAUCUACCUCAUGCUGCCGAUGUUCAAUCAGCUAAACAACUCACCUCAGUGCAUCUUCAAAGAAAGAGUAAACUCUACAAGAGUUUAUUCGUAGAAAGGAAUAAGCUACUAACUCUUAGAAUUGAAAAAAUUAAUGUUACAUUUGCAAUUAUAUAUUAUUAUUCAUUAUACUCACCCUAUGCAAACAA